rnacentral:rRNA from 1 species
ACAUGCAAGUCGAGCGGAGAUGAGGUGCUUGCACCUUAUCUUAGCGGCGGACGGGUGAGUAAUGCUUAGGAAUCUGCCUAUUAGUGGGGGACAACAUUCCGAAAGGAAUGCUAAUACCGCAUACGCCCUACGGGGGAAAGCAGGGGAUCUUCGGACCUUGCGCUAAUAGAUGAGCCUAAGUCGGAUUAGCUAGUUGGUGGGGUAAAGGCCUACCAAGGCGACGAUCUGUAGCGGGUCUGAGAGGAUGAUCCGCCACACUGGGACUGAGACACGGCCCAGACUCCUACGGGAGGCAGCAGUGGGGAAUAUUGGACAAUGGGCGGAAGCCUGAUCCAGCCAUGCCGCGUGUGUGAAGAAGGCCUUUUGGUUGUAAAGCACUUUAAGCGAGGAGGAGGCUACUUAGAUUAAUACUCUAGGAUAGUGGACGUUACUCGCAGAAUAAGCACCGGCUAACUCUGUGCCAGCAGCCGCGGUAAUACAGAGGGUGCGAGCGUUAAUCGGAUUUACUGGGCGUAAAGCGUGCGUAGGCGGCUGAUUAAGUCGGAUGUGAAAUCCCUGAGCUUAACUUAGGAAUUGCAUUCGAUACUGGUCAGCUAGAGUAUGGGAGAGGAUGGUAGAAUUCCAGGUGUAGCGGUGAAAUGCGUAGAGAUCUGGAGGAAUACCGAUGGCGAAGGCAGCCAUCUGGCCUAAUACUGACGCUGAGGUACGAAAGCAUGGGGAGCAAACAGGAUUAGAUACCCUGGUAGUCCAUGCCGUAAACGAUGUCUACUAGCCGUUGGGGCCUUUGAGGCUUUAGUGGCGCAGCUAACGCGAUAAGUAGACCGCCUGGGGAGUACGGUCGCAAGACUAAAACUCAAAUGAAUUGACGGGGGCCCGCACAAGCGGUGGAGCAUGUGGUUUAAUUCGAUGCAACGCGAAGAACCUUACCUGGCCUUGACAUAGUAAGAACUUUCCAGAGAUGGAUUGGUGCCUUCGGGAACUUACAUACAGGUGCUGCAUGGCUGUCGUCAGCUCGUGUCGUGAGAUGUUGGGUUAAGUCCCGCA